rnacentral:rRNA from 1 species
AGAGAUAGAGUCUUCCCCUUCGGGGGACAAAGUGACAGGUGGUGCAUGGUUGUCGUCAGCUCGUGUCGUGAGAUGUUGGGUUAAGUCCCGCAACGAGCGCAACCCUUAAGCUUAGUUGCCAGCAUUAAGUUGGGCACUCUAAGUUGACCGCCGGUGACAAACCGGAGGAAGGUGGGGAUGACGUCAAAUCAUCAUGCCCCUUAUGAUUUGGGCUACACACGUGCUACAAUGGACAAUACAAAGGGCAGCUAAACCGCGAGGUCAUGCAAAUCCCAUAAAGUUGUUCUCAGUUCGGAUUGUAGUCUGCAACUCGACUACAUGAAGCUGGAAUCGCUAGUAAUCGUAGAUCAGCAUGUUACGGUGAAUACGUUCCCGGGUCUUGUACACACCGCCCGUCACACCACGAGAGUCUGUAACACCCGAAGCCGGUGGAGUAACCAUUUAUGGAGCUAGCCGUCGAAGGUGGGACAAAUGAUUGGGGUGAAGUCGUAACAAGGUAGCCGUAUCGGAA